AGGGUGUAAACGCUGCAGACUUGGUGUUGGAAGCCCUUUGGGGGCAUUCAGUGCCGGAGAGAAGUUGUUAAGUCUGCUACUUGGGGAGUACGUCCGCAAGGAUGAAACUUAAAGGAAUUGGCGGGGGAGCACCGCAACGGGAGGAGCGUGCGGUUUAAUUGGAUUCAGCACCGUAAACUCACCAGGGAAGACUGUUACAUGAAGGCCGAGAUGAAGACUCUGCUAGAUUUUCAGAGAGGAGGUGCAUGGCGUCAGUGACU
rnacentral:rRNA from 1 species